AGAGUUUGAUCAUGGCUCAGAUUGAACGCUGGCGGCGUGCCUAACACAUGCAAGUCGGGCGGCAGCAGGCCCGCAAGGGUGCUGGCGAGCGGCGGACGGGUGAGCAAUACAUAGGAAUCUGCCUUAGAGCGGGGGAUAGCCCGGGGAAACCCGGAUUAAUACCGCAUGAUGUCGAAAGACCAAAGUGGGGGACCGUAAGGCCUCACACUCUGAGAUGAGCCUAUGUCCGAUUAGCUAGUUGGCGGGGUAACGGCCCACCAAGGCGACGAUCGGUAGCUGGUCUGAGAGGACGAUCAGCCACACCGGAACUGAGACACGGUCCGGACUCCUACGGGAGGCAGCAGUGGGGAAUAUUGGACAAUGGGCGAAAGCCUGAUCCAGCGACGCCGCGUGGGUGAAGAAGGCCUUCGGGUUGUAAAGCCCUUUAAGCCGGGACGAAAAAGCUGCACCUAACACGUGCGGCCUUGACGGUACCGGAAGAAUAAGCACCGGCUAACUCUGUGCCAGCAGCCGCGGUAAUACAGAGGGUGCAAGCGUUAAUCGGAUUUACUGGGCGUAAAGCGUGUGUAGGUGGCUCGCUAAGUCGGUUGUGAAAUCCCUGGGCUCAACCUGGGAAUUGCAGUCGAUACUGGCAAGCUCGAGUUCGGUAGAGGACGGCGGAAUUCCCGGUGUAGCGGUGAAAUGCGUAGAUAUCGGGAGG
rnacentral:rRNA from 1 species